UGAACUGGCAGGCUCGAGUUCUGAAGAGGGUGGUAGAAUUUCCUGUGUAGCGGUGAAAUGCGUAGAUAUAGGAAGGAAUACCGGUGGCGAAGGCGGCCACCUGGUCAGAAACUGACGCUGAGGUACGAAAGCGUGGGGAGCAAACAGGAUUAGAUACCUUGGUAGUCCACGCCGUAAACGAUGUCAACUAGUUGUUCGUGUCAUAAACGAUGUGAGUAACGCAGCUAACGCACUAAGUUGACCGCCUGGGGAGUACGGCCGCAAGGUUAAAACUCAAAUGAAUUGACGGGGGCCCGCACAAGCGGUGGAGCAUGUGGUUUAAUUCGAUGCAACGCGAAGAACCUUACCAUCCCUUGACAUCCAGUGAAUUUUCUAGAGAUAGAUAAGUGCCUUCGGGAACACUGAGACAGGUGCUGCAUGGCUGUCGUCAGCUCGUGUUGUGAGAUGUUGGGUUAAGUCCCGCAACGAGCGCAACCCUUAUCCUUAGUUGCCAGCGCGUAAAGGCGGGAACUCUGGGGAGACUGCCGGUGAUAAACCGGAGGAAGGUGGGGACGACGUCAAGUCAUCAUGGCCCUUACGGGAUGGGCUACACACGUGCUACAAUGGCGCGUACAAUGGGAAGCUAGCUCGCGAGAGUAUGCGGAUCUCAAAAAGCGCGUCGUAGUCCGGAUUGGAGUCUGCAACUCGACUCCAUGAAGUCGGAAUCGCUAGUAAUCGUGGAUCAGAAUGCCACGGUGAAUACGUUCCCGGGCCUUGUACACACCGCCCGUCACACCAUGGGAGUGGGCUGCACCAGAAGUAGAUAGCUUAAC
rnacentral:rRNA from 2 species